rnacentral:rRNA from 1 species
AGUUUGAUCAUGGCUCAGGAUGAACGCUAGCGGCAGGCUUAAUACAUGCAAGUCGUGGGGCAGCAGGUUUGUAGCAAUACAGAUGCUGGCGACCGGCAAACGGGUGCGGAACACGUACAGAACCUUCCUUUGAGCGGGGAAUAGCCCAGAGAAAUUUGGAUUAAUACCCCAUAGUAUAAUGAAGUGGCAUCACUUUAUUAUUAAAGAUUUAUCACUCGAAGAUGGCUGUGCGGCUGAUUAGGUAGUUGGCGGGGUAAAGGCCCACCAAGCCUGCGAUCAGUAACUGGUGUGAGAGCACGACCAGUCACACGGGCACUGAGACACGGGCCCGACUCCUACGGGAGGCAGCAGUAAGGAAUAUUGGUCAAUGGAGGCAACUCUGAACCAGCCAUGCCGCGUGGGGGAUGAAGGUCCUCUGGAUUGUAAACUUCUUUUAUAUGGGACGAAAAAAGGCUUUUCUAAGUCGUCUGACGGUACCAUAUGAAUAAGCACCGGCUAACUCCGUG